CGCCAAAAAACUAGCCUCCACCAAAAACAACAAUAAAAAAUUUAUAACCCCUAAUUACCACGAACCUAAUACUAAACAAACCAUUUUCCCGCCUUAGUAUGAGCGACAGAAAAGGCCCCACCAGAGCAAUAGAAGUAGUACCGCAAGGGAAUGUUGAAAAAGAAAUGAAAUAAACCAGUAUUUAAGCCUAAAAAAGCAGAGACUAAAACUCGUACCUUUUGCAUCAUGAUUUAGCUAGCACCAAUCAAGCAAGAUGAGCCCUAGUUUGAGACCCCGAAACUAUGUGAGCUACUUCAAGCCAGCCUUUUAAAAGGGCAAACCCGUCUCUGUGGCAAAAGAGUGGGAAGAGCUUCAAGUAGAGGCGACAAACCUACCGAACCUAGUUAUAGCUGGUUGUCUGGGAAUUGAAUAUAAGUUCAGCCUUUAACAUUUCUUACCUCCUUUACCUUACAUUAUACCCCACAGACUAAAAGAAAGCUAAAGAGUUAAUCAAAGGGGGUCCAGCCCCUUUGAGAUAGGACACAACCUUACCAGAAGGAUAAAGAUCAUAUUAAACUAAAGGGUAAAGCCAACGUGGGCUUAAAAGCAGCCACCUUAUAAUUAACGCGUUAUAGCUAAAGCAAACCACACCCUUAAAUUCAGUUAACCUUAUCUUAGUCCACUUCUAUCUACCAGACCGUCCCAUGCCAACAUGGGAGCGUACAUGCUAAUAUGAGUAAUAAGAGAGCCCGGGCUCUCUCCCUGCACACGUGUACCCCGAAAUGAACCCCCACCGGAACUCAACGGCCCCAAACAAAGAGGGCAUUGGAUCUAAAGUAACCACCAAGAAAUCCCCCCAUAAAACCACCGUUAACCCCACACUGGUGUGCCCAUAAGGAAAGACCAAAAGAAGAAGAAGGAACUCGGCAAACAAUAAUAGAGCCUCGCCUGUUUACCAAAAACAUCGCCUCUUGAAACCCUAGAAUAAGAGGUCCCGUCUGCCCCGUGACUAUAUGUUUAACGGCCGCGGUAUUUUGACCGUGCGAAGGUAGCGUAAUCACUUGUCUUUUAAUUGUAGACCUGUAUGAAUGACUAGACGAGGGCUCAACUGUCUCCUCCUUCAAGUCAAUGAAAUUGAUCUCCCCGUGCAGAAGCGGGGUUGAAACCAUAAGACGAGAAGACCCUAUGAAGCUUCAGACACCCGGACAUAACGUGUCAAGUGACCCUAAAUCAAAAGACCAAAACCUAGCGAUUACAUGUCCCCUGUCUUCGGUUGGGGCGACCACGGGGAAAUAAAAAACCCCCGAGUGGAACGGUAAUAUACCUAAGCACAUAACCAUUCUACUAUAAUUAAGAGCUACAGCUCAAGCAAUCAGAACAUCUGACCAAUCAUGAUCCGGCUUAACGCCGAUUAACGGACCAAGUUACUCUAGGGAUAACAGCGCAAUCCCCUUUUUAGAGGCCGCAUCAACAAGGGGGUUUACGACCUCGAUGUUGGAUCAGGACAUCCUAAUGGUGCAGCCGCUAUUAAGGGUUCGUUUGUUCAACGAUUAAAGUCCUACGUGAUCUGAGUUCAGACCGGAGCAAUCCAGGUCAGUUUCUAUCUAUGUUUUAUUCUUUUCUAGUACGAGAGGACCGAAAAGAAAAGGCCCAUAUUAAUAGUACGCCUUCCCCCUCCCUAAUGAAAACAACUAAAAAAGAUUAAGGGGUACACUACCACACUAAAGAUAAUGGUGU
rnacentral:rRNA from 1 species